rnacentral:rRNA from 1 species
GACGACGCUGGCGGCGUGCUUAACACAUGCAAGUCGAACGGACGAGUGAGAUAAGUUUACUUAACUCACAAGUUAGUGGCGGACGGGUGAGUAACACGUGGAUAAUCUACCUGCAACACCGGGAUAACGCUGUGAAAACGGUGCUAAUACCGGAUACGUCCCUUGUGCGCAUGUAUGAGGGAAGAAAGCUCAGGCGGUUGCAGAUGAGUCCGCGGCUGAUUAGCUAGUUGGUGAGGUAAAGGCUCACCAAGGCGAUGAUCAGUAGCCGGCCUGAGAGGGUGAACGGCCACACUGGGACUGAGACACGGCCCAGACUCCUACGGGAGGCAGCAGUGGGGAAUCUUCCGCAAUGGGCGCAAGCCUGACGGAGCAACGCCGCGUGGGUGAAGAAGGCCUUCGGGUUGUAAAGCCCUGUCUUAUGGGAAGAAGUCAGUGACGGUACCAUAGGAGGAAGCCACGGCUAACUACGUG